AGUGAACGCUGGCGGUAGGCCUAACACAUGCAAGUCGAACGGCAGCACAGUAAGGGCUUGCUCUUACGGGUGGCGAGUGGCGGACGGGUGAGGAAUACAUCGGAAUCUACUUUUUCGUGGGGGAUAACGUAGGGAAACUUACGCUAAUACCGCAUACGACCUACGGGUGAAAGCAGGGGAUCUUCGGACCUUGCGCGAUUGAAUGAGCCGAUGUCGGAUUAGCUAGUUGGCGGGGUAAAGGCCCACCAAGGCGACGAUCCGUAGCUGGUCUGAGAGGAUGAUCACCCACACUGGAACUGAGACACGGUCCAGACUCCUACGGUAGGUAGCAGUGGGGAAUAUUGGACAAUGGGCGCAAGCCUGAUCCAGCCCUACCGCGUGGGUGAAGAAGGCCUUCGGGUUGUAAAGCCCUUUUGUUGGGAAAGAAAAGCAGCAGGUUAAGACCCCGCUGUUCUGACGGUACCCAAAGAAUAAGCACCGGCUAACUUCGUG
rnacentral:rRNA from 1 species